GGGGUUGUAGCUCAGUGGUAGAGCGCUUACCUAGCCCAUGAGAGGCCCUAGAUUCGAUCCUUAGCACCACA
rnacentral:tRNA from 1 species